UGUGUCAUGGGUGUGCAAUGUGUGUGCAGGGAGCUGAGUGUGUGCAGUGUGUGUUGGGAGUGUGUGUGUGUCACGUGUGUCACGUUUGUCAUGGGUGUGCAAUGGGUGUGCAGGGAGUGGAGUGUGUGCAGUGCGUGCUGGGAGGGUGUGAGUGUGUGUCACAUGUGUCACGUGUGUCAUGGGUGUACAUUGGGUGUGCAAUGGACGUGUGGGGCGCCGAGUGAGUACAGGGCGUGGUGGGAGUGUGGGGGAGGGGGGGGUGUGAGUGUCACGUGGGUGGCGCGCGUUGUGGGUGUGCUGUGGGUGUGCAAUGGGUGUGCAAUGGGUGUGCAGUGGGUGUGUGGGGUGUUGAGUGUGUGCACAGUGUGGUGGAGUUGUGUGAGUGUGUGUGUAUCAUGGGUGUCACGUGCGUUGUGGGUGUGCAAUGGGUGUGCAGGGAGCUGAGUGUGUGCAGCGUGUGGUGGGAGUGUGUGAGUGUGUGUGUCAUAUGUGUCACGUGUGUCAUGGGUGUGCAAUGGGCGUGAAAUGGGUGUACAAUGGGCAUGUGGGGCACUGAGUGUGUGCAGUGCGUGCUGGGAGUGUGUGAGUGUGUGUGUCACGGGUGUCACGUGUGUCAUGGGUGUGCAAUGGGCGUGUGGGGCGCCGAGUGAGCGCGGGGCGUGGUGGGAGUGUGGGGGAGGGGGGGGUGUGAGUGUCACGUGGGUGGCGCGCGUUGUGGGUGUGCUGUGGGUGUGCUGUGGGUGUGCAAUGGGUGCUGAGUGUGUGCAGUGCGUGGUGGGAGUGUGUGAGUGUGUGUGUGUCACGUGUGUCACGUGUGUCAUGGGUGUGCAAUGUGUGUGCAGGGAGCUGAGUGUGUGCAGUGCGUGGUGGGAGUGUGGUGUGUUUAUGUGUCAAGUGUGUCACGUGUGUCAUGGGUGUGCAAUGGAUGUGCAGUGGGUGUGUGGGGUGCUGAGUGUGUGCACAGUGUGGUGGAGUGUGUGAGUGUGUGUGUGUCAUGUGUGUCAUGUGCGUCGUGGGUGUGCAAUGGGUGUUGGGUGUGUAGUUGGUGUGCAGUGGGUGUGCAAAGGGUGUGCAAUGGGCGUGCAGUGCGUGUUCGGAGUGUGUUUGUGUGUGUCAUGUGUGUUACGUGUGUCAUGGGUGUGCAAUGGGUGUGCAGUGGGAGUGUGGGGCGCUGAGUGUGUGCAGUGCGUGGUGGGAGUGUGUGUGUCAUGUGUGUCACGGGUGUCACGUGCCUUGUGGGUGUGCAAUGGGUGUGCAGGGAGCUGAGUGUGUGCAGUGUGUGCUGGGAGUGUGUGUAUGUGUGUCACGUGUGUCAUGGGUGUGCAAUGGGUGUGCAGGGAGCUGAGUGUGUGCAGUGCGUGCUGGGAGGGUGUGAGUGUGUGUGUCACAUGUGUCACGUGUGUCAUGGGUGUGCAAUGGGUGUGAAGUGGGAGUGUGGGGCGCUGUGUGUGUGCAGAGUGUGGUGGGAGUGUGUGAGUGUGUGUGUAUCACGUGUGUCACGUGUGUCAUGAGUGUGCAAUGGGCGUGCAAUGUGCGUGCAGGGAGCUGAGUGUGUGCAGUGCGUGGUGGGAGUGCGUGUGUGUCACGUGUGUAGCAGGGGUGCAAUGGGUGUGCAAUGGAGGUGCAAUGGGUGAGCUCUGGCUGUGCAAUGGGUGUGCAGGGAGCUGAGUGUGUGCAGUGUGUGGUGGGAGUGUGUAUGUGUGUGUCACGGGUGUUGGAUGUGUAGUUGGUGUGCAAAGGGUGUGCAAUUAGCAUGCAGUGCGUGUUGGGAGUGUGUUUGUGUGUGUCACAUGUGUCACGUGUGUCAUGCGUGUGCAAUGGGUGUGUAAUGGACGUGCAAUGGGUGAGCUCUGGGUGUGCAAUGGGUGUGCAAGGAACUGAGUGUGUGCAGUGUGUGGUGGGAGUGUGGUGUGUUUAUGUGUCACAUGUGUCACGUGCGUCGUGGGUGUGCAAUGGGCGUGCAAAGGCGUGGUGGGAGAGUGAGGGGGUGUCACACGCAUGUGGUGGGUGUGUAAUGGAUGUGCAAUGGGCGUGUUAGGAGUGUGUGUGUGUGUCGUGUGUUGUGUGUGUCCUGAGUGUGCAAUGGGUGUGUAAAGGGUGUGCAAUGGGCACGUAGGGUGUGUUGGGAGUGUAUGUGCGUGUGUUGUGUGUGAGUCAUGUGUGUUGUGUGUUGUGAGGGUGCAAUGGGUGUGUAAAGAGUGUGCAAUGCGUGUGCAGCUGCUGUGCAAUGGGUGUGCAAUCGGUGUGUUUGGAGUGUGUGUCUGUUCUGUGUGUGUGUCACGUGUGUCAUGUGUGUCCUGAGUGUGUAAAGGGUGUGCAAUGGGUGUGCAACGGGCAUGCGUCACGCUGAGUGUGUGCAAUGCAUGUUGGGAGUGCGCGUGCAGUGUGUGUGGUGUGUGUGUGUCACACAAGCCAUGUGUGAGCAGUGGGUGUGCAAUGGACGUGCAAUGGAUGUGCAAUGGGUGUGCAAUGGGUGUGCAAGGCACCGAGUGCAUGCAGUGUGUGGUGGAAGUGUGGGGGGAUGUGUGUCACGUGUGUCAUACGUGCCAUGUGCAUAGUGGGUGUGCAAUGGGUGUGUAAUAGAUGUGCAAAGGGUGUGCGGGCCGCCGAGUGUGUGGGAGUGUGUGUGUUGUGUGUGUGCUGUGAGCGUGCAAUGGGUGUGUAAUAGACGUGCAAUGGAUGUGAGGGUUGCCAAGUGUGUGGGAGUGUGCGUGUUAUAAGUGUGUGCUGUGGGUGUGCAAUGGGUGUGCAACGGGCAUGCGUCACGUUGAGAGUGUGCAAUGCAUGUUGGGAGUGUGCGUGCAGUGUGUGUGGUGUGUGUGUGUGUCACACGUGCCAUGUGUGAGCAGUGGGUGCGCAAUGGACGUGCAAUGGAUGUGCAAUGGGUGUGCAAGGCACUGAGUGCAUGCAGUGUGUGGUGGGAGUGUGGGGGGACAUGUGUCACGUGUGUCACACGUGCCAUGUGCAUUGUGGGUGUGCAAUGUCCGUGUCAUAGACGUGCAAUGGGCGUGCGGGGGGCCGAGUGUGUGGGAGUGUGUGUGCUGGGUGUGCGAUGGGUGUGUAAAGGGCAUGCAGGGCGCCGAGCGCGUGUGGUGCAUGGUGUGAGUGUGUGUGUGUGUGUGUGUGUGUGUGUGUCACGUGUCACGUUAGUCACACGUCACGUGUGUGGUGGGUGUGCAAUAGACGUGCAAAGGUCGUGCAAUGGGUGUGCAAGGCACUGAGUGUGUGCGGUGCGUGGUGGGAGUGUGUGUGGUGGGUGUGCAAUGGGCGUGCAGUGGGUGUGCAAGGCACCGAGUGUGUGCGGUGUGUGGUGGGAGUGUGUGUGGUGCGUGUGUGUGUGGUGGGUGUGCAAUGGGCGUGCAAUGGGUGUACAAUGGGUGUGCGUGGCACUGAGCACAUGCAAUGCAUGUUGGGAGUGUGCAUGAAGUGUGUGCAGUGUGUAUGUGUCACACGGGCCAUGUGUGAGCAGUGGGUGUGCAAUGGGCGUGCAAUGAGUGUGCAAUGAAUGUGCAGUUUGUGUGCAGGGCACUGAGUGCGUGUACUGAGUGUUCUACAUGCGUGUUGUGUGUGUCACGUGUGUCACGCAUGUUGUGUGUGUGCGCUGGGUGUGCAAUGGGCGUGCAAUGAGUGUGCAACGAGUGUGCAGGACGCUGUGUGCAUGUACUGAGCGUUGUGCAUGCGUGUUGUGUGUGUCACGUGUGUCACGCGUGUUGUGUGUGUGCAGUGGGUGUGCAAUGGGCGUGCAAUGAGUGUGCAGUGAGUGUGCAGGGCACUGAGUGCAUGUACUGAGUGUUCUACAUGCGUGUUGUGUGUGUCACGCAUGUGUCACGCGUGUCGUGUGUGUGGUGGGUGUGCAAUGGGCAUGCAAUGGGUGUGCAAUGAGUGUGCAAUUUGGGUGCAGGGCACUGAGUGCGUGCAAUGCACGUUGUGAGUGUGCAUCAAGUGCGUGUAUGUGUCACGCGGGCCAUGUGUGAGCAGUGGGUGUGCAAUGGGCGUUCAAUGAGUGUGCAAUUUUGUGCAGGGCACUGUGUGUACUGAGCGUUGUGCAUGCGUGUGUGAGUGUGCUGCGUGUGUCACACGGGCCAUAUGUGAGCAGUGUGUGUAAUGGGCGUGCAAUGAGUGUGCAGGACACUGUGUGCAUGUACUGAGCAUUGUGCAUGCGUGUUGUGUGUGUCAUGUGUGUGUCACGCGUGUUGUGUGUGUGGUGGGUGUGCAAUGGGAGUGCAAUGAGUGUGCAACAGAUGUGAGGAGUGCUGAGUGUGCGCAGUGAGUGUUGUGAGUGUGCUUUGUGCGUGCGUGUGCUGUGUGUUGUCUGAGUUGUGUAUUGCGUGCGUGCAGUGGGCGUGCAACGGGUGUGCAACGGGCAUGCGGCGUGCUGAGUGUGUGCGCUGUGUGUUGCGUGCGUGUGUAUGGAGCGUGCGGUGUGUCUCACACGUGUCGUGUGUGCUGUGGGUGUGCAACGGCCAUGCGAUUUGGGCUGUGGGUGUGUGGCGGGCGUGCAAGAGGCAUGCAGGGCACCGAGUGCACACGGUGAGUGCUAUGUGGGUGUGUCAUGUGGGUGUGGUGUGUGUGCAGUGGGCGUGCAAUGGGUGUGCAUGCAGUGUGUUGUGUGUGUGUCAUGUGUGUGGUGUGUCACACGUGUCACGUGUGCAGUGGGUGUGCAAGGGGCGUGCAAUGGCUGUGUGAUGGGCGUGCAAUGUGUGUGCAAUGAGUGUGCAUGCAGUGCAUGUUGUGUGUGCGUCUUGCGCGUGUGUUGUGUGUGUAGUGUGUGUCACACGUGUCACGUGUGCAGUGGGUGUGCAAGGGGCGUGCAAUGCCUGUGUGAUGGGCGUGCAAUGGGCGUGCAAUGGGUGUGCAGGCACUGAGUGCAUGCAGUGUGUGUGUGUGUGUCAUGUGUGUGGUGUGUGUCACAUGUGUCACGUGUGCAGUGGUUGUGCAGGGGUGUGCAGUGGCUGUGUGAUGAGUGUGCAAUGGGUGUGCAAUGGGCCUGCAGGCACUGAGUGCAUGCAGUGCUGGUUGUGAGUGUGUGUCUCAUGUGUGAGAGGUGUGUAGUGUGUGUCACACGUGUCACGUGUGCAGUGGGUGUGCAAGGGGCGUGCAAUGGCUGUGCAAUGGGUGUGCAAUGGGUGUGCAGGCACCGAGUGCAUGCAGUGUUCGUGUGUGUGUCGUGUGUGUGGUGUGUCUCACACGUGACACGUGUGCAGUACGUGUGCAAUGGGUGUGCAAGUGGUGUGCAUUGGCUGUGUGAUGGGCGUGCAAUGGGCGUGUAAUGGGUGUGCAGGCACUGAGUGCACGCAGUGCUGGUUGUGUGUGUGUGUUUUGUGCGUGUGUUGUGUGCGUGCUGUGUGGCACACGUGUCACAUGUGCAGCGGGUGUGCAAUGGAUGUGGAAUGGGUGUGCAAUGGGCCUGCAGGCACUGAGUGCAUGCAGUGCUGGUUGUGAGUGUGUGUCUCAUGUGUGAGUGGUGUGUAGUGUGUGCCACAUGUGUCACGUGUGCAAUGGGCAUGCAAUGGGUGUGCAAUAGGCGUGCAAUGGGCGUGCGGUGUGCGUGUUGUGAGUGUGUGUGUGGUGUAGUGCGUGUGUGUGUCGUGUGUGCCACGCGUUUGUGUGCAGUGGGUGUGCAAGGGGAGUGCAGGGGGUGUGGGGGGCACUGUGUGCGAGUGUGUUGUGUGUGUACAGAGUGUGAGUCACAUGUGUGUCACGUGUUUGUGUCACGUGUGUGUCACAUGUGUGUGUCACAUGUGUUGUGUGCGUUGAGUAUGCUUUUAGUGUGUGUGCAAUGGGCGUGCAAGGCACCUGCAGGGCAGUGAGUGUGUCUGGUGUUGCUAUGAGUGUGUUAUGUGUGUGUCACACGUGUUGUGUGUUCUGAGUGUGUGUGCAAUGGGCGUGCAGUGCAUGUGUGGGGUGCUGAGUGUGUCUGGUGCUUGUUAUGAGUGUGUCACGCGUGUGUCACGUGUGUUGUGUGUGCUGAUUGUGCCUAUAGUGUGUGUGCAAUGGUUGUGCAGUGCGUGUGCAGGGCACUGAGUGUGUCUGGUGAUUGUUAUGAGUGUCACGCGUGUGUCACACGUGUGUCACGUUUGUUGCAUGUUGUGUGUGCUGAGUGUGCUUAUAGUGUGCGUGCAAUGGGUGUGCAGUGUGUUUGUGGGGUGCUGCACGUAUGCAGUGUCACACGUUUGUGUGUGCAACGUGUGCAAUGCCUGCAAUCACGUGUGUGGUGUGUGCAGAGGGUGUGCAAUGUGCGUGCAAGGAGCGUGCACAGUGUGCAGUCUGUGUGCAAUGGGUGUGCAAUGUGUGUGCAGUGUGUGUGCAACGGGUGUGUCAUGUGUGCAGUGGGUGUGCAACGUGUGCAGCGCGUUGGUAACGUGAGCAACAAGUGCAGUGGGUUUACAGUGCGUGGUGUGUGUGCAACGGGUGUGCAAUGGGUGUGCACGGGGAGUGCUGUGGGCAUGCACAGGGCACGGUGGUGUGUGUGUGGAGCAGGGGGUGUGCAGAGGGAGCAGUGGGUGUGCAAGAGGAGUGUGGUGCGUGCAAAGGGUCUGCGGUGGGUGUGCACUGGGCUUGCACAGGGGGAGCUGUGUGUGCAGGGGAGUGCAACAUGUGCAGUGAGUGUGCAAGAGGAGUUCACUGCAUGCGUGGGGUGAGCGGUGGGUGUGUGCGCUGUGGGUGUGCAAUGAGUGUGUGCACAGGGCGUGCAGUGUGUGUGCAAAAAGAGUGCUGGGUGUGCAGUGAGUGUGCACACAGGUUGCAGUGGGUGUGCGGUGAGUGUGCAAAGGGGGUGCAGUGCGUGCAAAGAGCAUGCAGUAGACAUGCAGUGAGUGUGCAGCGCAGUGUGUGUGCACAGAGCGUGCAGUGUGUGCAGUGGGUGUGCAACAGGAGUGCAGUGCACGCUGUGGGUGGGCAGUGAGUGUGCAAAGGGGGUGCAGUGUGUGCAAGGAGUGCACAGUGGACGUGUAAUGAGUGUGCAGUGGGCGUGCACGGGGAGUGCAGUGCGUGCAGUGAGUGUGCAAUGGGUGUGCACAGUGUGUGCAGAAUGGGUGUGCACAGGGAAUGCAGUGUGCAGUGAGUGUGCAGUGGGUGUGCACAGGGAAUGCAGUGUACAGAAUGGGUGUGCAGUGAGUGUGCACUGCGUGCCAUGAGUGUGCACAGGGAGUACAGUUGGCAUGCAACGGGCAUGCACAGGGGGUCUAAUAGGUGUGCAGUGAGUGUGCAAUGAGUGUGCACAGGGAGUGCAGUUGACAUGCAGUGUCCGAUGGGUGUGCACAGGGGGUGCAAUGGGUGUGCAGUGAGUGUGCAAUGAGUGUGCACAGGGAGUGCAGUUGGUGAGCAGUGGGUGUGCACACGGGAUCUAAUGGGAGUGCAGCAAGUGUGCAAUGAGUGUGCACAGGGGGUGUGAUGGAGAUGCAGUGCAGUGAGUGUGCAAUGGGUGUGCAGAGGGAUUGUAAUGGAUGUGCAGUGCAGUGAGUGUGCAAUGAGUGUGCAGAGGGGAUUCAGUGCAUGCAGUCGGUGUGCAAUGGGUGUGCAAAGGGAUUGUAAUGGAUGUGCAGUCAGUGUGCAGUGGUUGUGCAAAGGGAUUGUAAUGGAUGUGCAGUGAGUGUGCAACGGGUGUGCACAGGGAGUCUAAAGGAUGUGCUGAGCAGUGAGUGUGCAAUGGGUGUGCACUGGGAGUGCAGUGUGUGCAGUCGGUGUGCAAUGGGUGUGCAAAGGGAUUGUGAUGGAUGUGCAGUGCAGUGAGUGUGCAAUGGGUGAGCACUGGGUGUGUAAUGAGUGUGCACACAGUGUGUAGCGUGUGAGCACGGGAUGUGCACGCACGUUGCACCCACAAGGUUUGCACACCCGAGCAAGUGGUGCAGGUGUGCAUUAUGUGGUGCGUGUGCAGGGCUCUCACGCGUGUGCACAGGGGUGUGGGUGUGCAAGGUGUGAAUGUUUGUGCACCGGGGCAGUGUGCUUUGCACAGUGUGCUGACAGGAUGCGUGUGCAAUGUGAUCCUACUCACACGCGUGUGCAAGGCAGUCUGUGCGCAUGGCGACGCUCAUGCACGUGUGCUCCUCAUGCACACUCAUGCCACGUGCCUUGCACACGCGAGCAGUGCUCAACACAUCGCUUGUGCACACUUGCGUGUGCGUGUGCAACAGCCGCAGCACUUGCAGAGCAUGGGAGGUGGCACCUAACAUGCGUGUGCAAACAUGUUUGUGCAUACAAUGGGUGUGCAACACCAGCAAAGUGUGCAAGCGUGCUCAGGGCUGUGUACACAACACAUGCGUGAGCCUGCACGCUGCAUGAGUGUGCAAGAUGUGCAACGUCUGCUUGCACGAUGAGUGUUUGUGUGUGCAUAUAUGUACGUGUAUGUGCAAUAAGUGUGCAACACCAGCAGCACUUGCGGAGCACACAUGUGUGUCUGUGUGCUGCCACAACGAGUGUGCAAGCCUGCGUGUUGCAUGCAUGUGCCUGCACGGAUAUGCGUGUGCAAGAGGUGUGCAACAGCAGCAGCACUUGCAGAGCACACAUGUGUUUCUGUGUUAUGGCACAACGAGUGUGCAAGGCUGCGAGGUGUGUGUGUGCAUACAUGUACGUGUGUGUGCAAGAGGUGUGCAACACCAGCAGCACUUGCAGAGCGCACAUGUGUGUCCGUGUGCUGCCACAGUGAGUGUGCAAGGCUGCGUGUUGCAUACGUGUGCGUGUGCCUGGAAGGGUAUGUGUGUGCAAGAGGUGUGCAACACCAGCAGCACUUGCAGAACUCACACAUGUGUCUGUGUGCUGCCACAAUGAGUGUGCAAGGCCACGUACUGCAUGUAUGUAUGUGCAUGUGCCUGCAUGGAUAUGCGUGUGCAAGAGGUGUGCAACAGCAGCAGCACUUGCAGAGCGCACACGUGUGUCUGUGUGCUGCCACAAUGAGUGUGCAAGGCUGUGUUGCAUGUUUGUAUGCGUGUGUGCCUGCAUGGGUAUGUGUGUGCAAGAGGUGUGCAACACCAGCAGCACUGGUGGAGCACACUUGUGUGUCUGUGUGCUGCCACGAUGAGUGUGCAAGGCUGUGUGUUGCAUGCGUGUGCAUGUGCCUGCAUGGGUAUGUGUGUGCAAGAGGUGUGCAACAGCAGCAGCACUUGCAGAGCACACACGUGUGUCUGUGUGCUGCCACAACGAGUGUGCAAGGCUGCGAGGUGUGUGUGUGCAUACAUGUACGUGUGUGCAAUAAGUGUGCAACAGCAGCAGCACUUGCAGAGCUCACACGUGUGUCUGUGGGCUCCCACAAUGAGUGUGCAAGGCUGUGUGUUGCAUGCGUGUGCCUGCAUGGGUAUGUGUGUGCAAGAGGUGUGCAACAGCAGCAGCACUUGCAGAGCACACACGUGUGUGAUGGCACAAUGAGUGUGCAAGGCUGCGUGUAGCAUGUUUGUAUGCGUGUGUGCCUGCAUGGGUAUGUGUGUGCAAGAGGUGUGCAACACCAGCAGCACUUGUGUGCAUGCCUGCCUGCCCACGUCUGCUUGAUGUGAGUGUGUACGUGAGUGCACACCGGCUGCGCGUGCAAACAUUGGCAUGGGUGUGCAAAACCAGCAGCACGUGCAGAGCACACAAGCCUGCUUGUGUGUGGGUGUGUCUGCGUGUGCAAAUGUUCACACGCGUGUGCAGCACCCGCCGCACUUAGGGCGCCUCGCUUGGAUCCACGUGCGUGUCAGGUGUGUGUGUGUGUGUGCGUGUGCAUACAUGCACACGCGUGUGCAACACCGACAGCGCUCACAAAGCAGAGCAGCUCCUUCCUGUCUGCUUGCACGAGGAGUGUGUGAAUGUGUGUGCACGUGUGAGUGUGUGUGCAUGUAAAUUCGUGACACACGCGUAUGCUUGAAUGUGUGGAUGGGUGUGCAUGUGCGUGUGCCCACACGUACACGCGUGUGCAACAGCUGUGCAGCACUCACAGCGCGUGUGAGCCGGCUGCUGCCUGCUGGCACCACAUACAUACCCGUGCUUGCACACGCGUGUGCAACAUGCAUAGCUAUAAGCGAGCGUGCACAUGUGUGUGCCUCCAUGUACACGCGUGUGCAACACCAGCAGCCAUUGCAGAGCAUGCAGGCCCUACUGCUGCCUGCUUGCACGUGCGUGUGUAAGCAUGCGUGCCCUCUGUGUGUGAGUGUGCACGUGUAAGUGCACAACACACACGUGUGCCUGCACGUUGCAUGCCUGUACAUGUGUGUGCUCACACGUAUGUGUGCAACAGCGGCCGUGACAUGCGCAUACCUGUGCUUGCACACGCCUGUGCAUACAUGCUGCAGGGCUAUAUGUGCGUGUGCUCACGUGCGUGUGCAACAGCAGAGCAGCACCACCAGCACUCAUAGAGCCCCUGUGAGCCAAUUGCUUCCUGCUGGCACCACACAGUUGCACAGAUGCUUGCACACGCGUGUGCAUGAACUACGGCCUGUCACACACAUGUGCAUGCAUGUAUCUGUGUGUGUGCUCACACGUGCGUGUGCAACAGCAAUCAGCAUCUGCAGCACUCAUAGCGCCCUUGUGAGCUGACGGCCGCCUGCUGGCACCACACGGUUGCACAUACACUUGCACACACGUGUGCACUCACUACGGUCUAUCACACACGUGCACACGCACGUUGUGUGCAUAUGAGUGUGCAACAGUCAUGCACUCUCAGAGCCCCUGUGAGCCAAUUGCUGCCUGCUGGCACCACACGGUUGCACGUACACUUGCACACACGUGCGCACUCACUACGGCCUAUCACACACACGUGUGCACACCUGCAGUGUGUGUGUGAGUGUGCAACAGCAGAGCAGCACCUGUAGCACUCAUAGAGCCCUUGUGAGCUGACAGCUGCCUGCUGGCACCACACGGUUGCACAUACACAUGCACACGCGUGUGCACACACUACAGCCUGUCACACACGUGUGCAUGUAUAUAUAUAUGUGUGUGCGCUCACACGUGCGUGUGCAACAGCAAUCAGCACCUGCAGCACUCAUAGAGCCCUUGUGAGCUGACGGCCGCCUGCUGGCACCACACAGUUGCACAUACACUUGCACACGCGUGUGCACUCACUAUGGCCUAUCACACAUGCGUGCAUGCAUGCUGUGUAUAUGUUAGUGUGCAACGGCCAUGCACUCUCAGAGCCCCUGUGAGCCAAUUGCUGCCUGCUGGCACCACACAGCUGCACAGAUGCACACGCGUGUGCACUCACUAUGGCCUAUCACACACGUGUGCACACCUGCAGUGUGUGUGUGAGUGUGCAACAGCAGAGCAGCACCUGCAGCACUCAUAGAGCCCUUGUGAGCUGACAGCCGCCUGCUGGCACCACACGGUUGCACAUACACGUGCACACGCGUGUGCACACACUACAGCCUGUCACACACGUGUGCAUGCAUAUAUAUGUGUGUGUGCUCACACGUGCGUGUGCAACAGCCACGCAGCACUCACAGAGCCCUUGUGAGCCGACAGCCGCCUGCUGGCACCACACGGUUGCACAGACACUUGCACACACGUGUGCACUCACUACAGCCUGUCACACACGUGUGCAUGCAUAUAUAUAUAUGUGCGUGUGUGCUCACACGUGCGUGUGCAACAGCCAUGCAAUACCCGCAUCACUCACAGAGCCCUUGUGAGCCAAUUACUGCCUGCUGGCACCACACAGUUGCACAGACGCACACGCGUGUGCACUCACUACAGCCUGUCACACGCAUGUGCAUGCACGUACAUGUGUGUGCUCACACGUGCGUGUGCAACAGCCACGCAGCACUCACAGAGCCCUUGAGAGCCUAUUGUUGCCUGCCGGCCCCACGCAGUUGCACAGACACACACACGUGUGCACUCACUACAGCCUGUCACACGCGUGUGCAUGCAUAUAUUGCUCACACGUGCGUGUGCAACAGCCACGCAGCACUCACAGAGCCCUUGUGAGCCGACAGCCGCCUGCUGGCACCACAUGGUUGCACAGACACUUGCACACACGUGUGCACUCACUACAGCCUGUCACACACGCGUGCACACCUGCAGUGUGUAUGUGAGUGUGCAACAGCCAUGCAGCACCCGCAGCACUCACAGAGCCCCUGAGAGCCUAUUGCUGCCUGCUGGCACCACGCUGUUGCACAUACACUUGCACACACGUGUGCACUCACUAUGGCCUGUCACAGACGUGUGCAUGCACGUACAUGUGUGUGCUCACACGUGCAUGUGCAACAGCCACGCAGCACUCACAGAGCCCUUGAGAGCCUAUUGCUGCCUGCUGGCACCACAUGGUUGCACAGAUACUUGCACACUAUGGCCUAUCACACACGUGUGCACACCUGCAGUGUGUAUGUGAGUGUGCAACAGCCAUGCAGCACCCGCAGCACUCACAGAGCCCAUGAGAGCCUAUUGCUGCCUGCUGGCACCACACUGUUGCACAUACACUUGCACACACGUGUGCACUCACUACAGCCUGUCACACACGUGUGCAUGCAUAUAUGUGUGUGUGCUCACACGUGCGUGUGCAACAGCCACGCAGCACUCACAGAGCCCUUGUGAGCCGACGGCCGCCUGCUGGCACCACAUGGUUGCACAGACACUUGCACACACGUGUGCACUCACUACAGCCUGUCACACACGUGUGCACACCUGCAGUGUGUAUGUGAGUGUGCAACAGCCAUGCAGCACCCACAGCACUCACAGAGCCCCUGAGAGCCUAUUGCUGCCUGCUGGCACCACACUGUUGCACAUACACUUGCACACACGUGUGCACUCACUACAGCCUGUCACACACGCGUGCACACCUGCAGUGUGUAUGUGAGUGUGCAACAGCCAUGCAGCACCCGCAGCACUCACAGAGCCCCUGAGAGCCUAUUGCUGCCUGCCGGCCCCACGCACGCUCACACCCGCGUGUGCACUCACCCGACGGCCCCUCACACGCGCGUGCAAAGCCCGGGGGGGGGGAUUUCGACCAAAGGGGGGGGUCGGGGGGGGGGAGGGGUCGGUUGCAGGUUGGCUAUGGGGGGGUUUUGGGGGGGGGGGGGGGUUUGCUAGCGCUACUGUGACGGCAUCCCUGAUCUUCGUCGCUAGUGAGAAGUGGGGCCGGGCGGCCGCGAGUCCUCGUGAGUCCUCGUGAGCUCACGCCGGCCACCCUCCACGAUUAUUUAUCCGUAUGAGUAUGAUUAGUAUCCUUAUUAUCAUUAAUUAUUAUUAUUAUUAUUAGCAUUCUUAGUAUUAUUAGUAUUAUUGCUCUGAGAGGUUUCAGUCCGACGCGGUCAUGGAGGAGAAGUUGGGCGCUCCCACAGCGCCACCUGCAGGACGGGAGGAGAAACGGCGCCCCCCCGCCCCCAUAGCGGCUCUUCCUCCUCCUCCUCCUCCUCUCCUCUCCUCGACGUCGUCGUCUGCUUCGCUCUGUGCUGAGUCCCGUUGGGGGGGUUUUUGGGGAGGGGGGUGGGGGGGGGGGGGGGUUGGGGGUCCCUCCCCUCCGCUCGGUGCUUUUUGCUUUUUUUCUUGCUUUUUUUUCUUUUCUUUUGGCUUUUUUUGUUUGUUUGUUUUUCUCUCGUUUUUUUUUUCCCUGUUUUAUUUUCUCCUUUUUUUUUUCGGUUUUUUUUUCUUCUUUUUUUCCUUCAUUUUUAAGCUUUUUUUCUCCCUUUUUAAAUCUUUUCUUCCCCUUUUCUUCUCCUUUUCUUCUCCUUUUCUUCUCCUUUUUUUCUCCUUUUCUCUCCUUUUUUCUCCUUUUCUCUCCUUUUUUCCUUUUUUUCUUCUCCUUUUCUUUUCCUUUUCUUCUCCUUUUUUCUCCUUUUUCUUCUCCUUUUCUUCUCCUUUUUUCUCCUUUUCUUCUCCUUUUUCUUCUCCCUUUUUCUCCUUUUUUCUCCCUUUUUUCUCCUUUUUUUUCUCCUUUUCUUCUCCUUUUUCUUCUCCUUUUCUUCUCCUUUUUCUCCUUUUUCUCCUUUUUUCUCCUUUUUUCUCCUUUUUUCUCCUUUUUUCUCCUUUUUUCUCCCUUUUUUCUCCUUUUUUCUCCUUUUUUCUUCUUUUCUUCUCAUUUUUUCUCCAUUUUAUCUCCUCUUCUUCCUUUUUUCUCAUUUUCUCCUUUUUUCCUCCUUUUCUCUUUCUCUUUUUCUUCUCCUUUUUUUCUCCUUUUCUUCUCGUUUUUUUCUCCUUUUUUCUCCUUUUCUUCUCCUUUUUUCUCCUUUUUUCCUCCCUUUUCUCCCUUUUUCUCCUUUAUUUCUCCUUUUUUCUCCUUUUUCUCCUCCUUUUCUCCUCUGUUUCUCCUUUUUCUCCUUUUCUCUCCAUUUUUUCCUCCUCUUUUUUCUCCUUUUUUUCUCCCUUUUUCUCCUAUUUUUGGCACCUCUUCCCAUUUUCUUCCCCUCUUCCUUUCAAAUCUUUUUUCCUCUCUUUUUUUUUCCUCAUUCUCCCCCUUUUUUCUCCUUUCUCUCCUUUUUUUCGCAUUUUUUCUCCUCCUUUUCUCCUCUUUUAUUCCUCUUUUCCUCCACUUUUUCACCUCUUUUUCUCCAUUUUUUCUCCUCUUUUCCUCCUUUUUUUCUCCUCUUCUCCUCCUUUUUUUUCCUCCUCAUUUUCUCCUUUUUUCCUCCCUUUUUCUCCUUUUUUUUCCAUUUUUUCACCUCUUUUCCUCCUUUUUUCUCCUCUUCUCCUCCUUUUUUUCUCAUCAUUUUCUCCUUUUUCCUCCCUUUUUUUCUCCUCUUUUUCCUCACUAUUUUCUCCUUUUUUCUCCUUUUUUCUCCAUUUUAUCUCCUCUUCUCCUCCUUUUUUUCUCAUUAUCUUUUUUCCUCCAUUUUUUCUCCUCUUUUCCUCCUUUUUAUUCUCCUCUUCUCCUCCUUUUUUUUCUCAUUUUCUCCUUUUUUCCUCCCUUUUUUGUCCUUUUUUCUCCAUUUUAUCUCCUCUUCUCCUCCUUUUUUUUCUUCUCAUUUCCUCAUUUUUUCCUCCCUUUUUCUCCCUUUUUCUCCAUUUUUCUCUUUUCCUCCUUUUUUUCUCCUCUUCUCCUCCUUUUUUCCUCCUCAUUUUCUCCAUUUUUCCUCCUUUUUUUCUCCUUUUUUCUCCAUUUUUUCUCCUCUUCUCCUCCUUUUUUUUUCUUCUCAUUUCCUCCUCUUUUUCCUCCCUUUUUCUCCUUUUUUUCUCCCUUUUUUCUCCUCUUUUCCUCCUUUUUAUUCUCCUCUUCUCCUCCUUUUUUUUCCUCCUCAUUUUCUCCUUUUUUCCUCCCUUUUUCCUCCUUUUUUCUCCUUUUUUCUCCAUUUUAUCUCCUCUUCUCCUUUUUUCCUCCCUUUUUUCUCCUUUUUUCUCCAUUUUAUCUCCUCUUCUCCUCCUUUUUUCCUCCCUUUUUUCCUCCUUUUUUUCUCCUUUUUUCCUCCUUUUUCCUCCUCUUUUCCUCCUCAUUUUCUCCUUUUUUCCUCCCUUUUUUCUCCUUUUUUCUCCCUUUUUCUCCAUUUUAUCUCCUCUUCUCCUCCUUUUUUCCUCCCUUUUUUCUCCUUUUUUCUCCAUUUUAUCUCCUCUUCUCCUCCUUUUUUCCUCCCUUUUUUCCUCCCUUUUUUCUCCUUUUUUCCUCCUUUUUCCUCCUCUUUUCCUCCUCAUUUUCUCCUUUUUUCCUCCCUUUUUUCUCCUUUUUUCUCCCUUUUUCUCCAUUUUAUCUCCUCUUCUCCUCUUUUUUUUCCUCCUCAUUUUCUCCUUUUUUCCUCCCUUUUUCCUCCCUUUUUUCUCCUUUUUUCUCCAUUUUAUCUCCUCCUCCUUUUUUCCUCCUUUUUUUCUCCUUUUUUCCUCCUUUUUCCUCCUCUUUUCCUCCUCUUUUUCUCCUUUUUCCUCCCUUUUUCUCCUAUUUUUUGGCAUCUCUUCCCAUUUUCUUCCCCUCUUCCUUUCCAAUCUCUCUUUUUUUUUUCUCUCCUUUUUUCGCAUUGUUUUUCCCAUCCCGUUCUGAGAUUCGACUUUGGCAUCGCGGGGGGGGGG
ensembl:lncRNA